GCUAACAGCAACGCACACCCAGAAGGCCAAAGAUCCAUUCGCUGCAGUGAGGGGUAACGACCACCACGUUGGACGAAACAUCUGGAAGACAGAAGAAAGCUUAGCCUGUUUAAGUCCACUUGAUGCACCUGCUGAACUGAGCUCAGCACAGAAGAACUGACUGGGUAGUUUUGGAAAUGACCCAAGGGACAGUCAUUUCCAGAAUCCACAGAAACCCCGAUGCACUGGACAGGAUGUCCCUUACACCCAAAGGCAGUUCCUUGAACAGCAAGGCCCAAAGAUUGAUGCUUGCAAGUUCUAGGAGAAUGGUACACACCAAUCUUGAGGGAAAUUUGGAUCAUAGAGGGAUUUUCACUUCAUAUUGCUUAAAAAUUUUUUAUGAUGUACUAUGCAUUUCCAAAAAAGUUUU